AAUCUCUCUCAUUGCAGGCUGAAGAGGACUGGCCUUUCAGUGGCCCUCGUGGAACGGUAGGAAGCUGAGCUGGACUCUCUGCCACAUCGUUCGGUUCCCACAACAGCCUGAUGAAGCAGCAGCAGAAAAAAUGGAAGCCAUUUUGGUUAACGGGUCACAUCUUAGCAGUUGGCAGCGUAAGAAGCGGAAGGAUCCACUGGUCAGAAAUGGAGAUUGAGGAGAAGCUGAGAGCACGGAGGGCUUCAGGGGAGAGCCUGUCCUUUGGAAAAGCGGGCAAUUUGCACUCGUGGUAGAUGAGUGGGGAGGCCGCUCAGUCUCUCUGCCCCUUUGCACAUGCUGCACCCGUUUAGUUUGACGUCGUGGAGAGCUCCUCCAGGCACGGGCUGUGUGAAAGGGUUUAAAAGUUUGGGGGCAUGGCUGGGGGUCCCCGCAUGAGGGGUGCUGUGUAGGCUCCCAUCUUUUCUGCCGGUCAUGCUGGGAGCCAACAGCACCGGCUCCUGACGUGGGGACUUGCCCUGUGCCAUGACGUGGGGACUCGCCCUGUGCCCUGCGCCCCGGUUCCUGCUGGUUCUGUGCCUUCUGGACUCAUUUCCUUUCCAGGGUCCGCAACCGCUUCCGACACAAUCACUAUUUUGGCUGCGGCCACGGCUUCAUUCGCUUCAGCUGCGAGCUUUUCUCAGCGCAGAGAGCACAGGGAAGCUGGGAGGAGUCCGCCUAGAUGGUCGUUUUCAGUGAGAGGAUUGGCAUGAAGAAUCCUUGGGACACAGGAAUCAAUCAAGACCUUUGGAUGCCCCUGCCUGCUCUGUCUCUAGAAGCCUCAAGCCCAGCAUCCCCAUGCCGACGUGCUCAUCUCUAGCAAAACACCAGCCUCUCAGCCCUCUCUCCAUAAAGGCCACUAGAAAGUACUGUGAUGCCAGGCUGCUCCACAUCCAGGCAGCCUGGGUGACCACUGCCCUUUAUGAGAAUCAGAAAAAGCUGUCUCCCGAGUAGUUGGAAUUACAGGUGCAUGCCACCAUGCCUGGCUAAUUUUUGUAUUUUUAGUAGAGAUGGAGUUUCACUAUGUUGGCCAGGCUGCUCUUGAACUCCUGACCUCAAAUGAUCCACCCGACUCGGCCUCCCAAAGAGCUGGAAUUACAGGAGAAGCUAAACGUUUUAAAAUAAGUAUAUUAUUUCUGAAUUACUAUAACAGACAUGGACUCCAUUUGAACAAGAUACUUAAUUCCAUCAAAAACUUGUCAAAAUAUACAAAUUUAGUCACAAGACACUUUACUACCAUCUACCAAAGCUGUAGUAAACACACACAUUUUCCAUCUUUGAAAUGAAAUAACGUAUAAUAAUGUUUUCCAAAAUAACAAAGAUGUCUGCAGUGAAUAGCACUCCCUUUGAUGUGGCAACUGGGUCAAUCGUGUUAACAACUGUGAAUUCAUCUUUUUAAGAAAUUCUUUUAUUGUUUCUUUUCUUUUCCGCGACAGUCUCACUCGUGUUGCCCCGGCUGGAGUGCAGUGGCGCUAUCUUGGCUCACUGCAGCCUCCGCCUCCCGGGUUCAAGCAAUUCUCAUGCCUCAGCCUCCUGAGUAGCUGGGAUUAUAGGCACGUGCCACCACACCCAGCUAAUUUUUUUGUAUUUUUAGUAGAGACGGGGUUUGACCAUGUUGGUCAGGGUGGUCUCGAAUUCCUGACCUCAGUUGAGCCGCCGGCCUCGGCCUCCCAGGAAGUGCUGGGAUUACAGGCAUGAGCCACCAGGCCCGGCCUUAUUGUUUCUAUUUGUAAUAAAUCUGUUCCCCUUGCUGCUGUCUCUGCGUUAGUUCUCCUCAUUUCUAGCUUGGGUGCUGCAGCAGCCUCUGACCGGUCCUUCUGUCUCCAGCCUGACUGCGUUUUCUCGCACCUGCUGGGCUGUCUUAGGGCCCCGAUGCCGGUGGCGUUUGCCAUUCUCCGUCUGCCUGAGGCGUCCUCCCUCCGUCAUCUGACAGGCAAAUGUUACAGCCCUUCAAGACUUAGGCAUUACCUUUCCCGCGCGGCCUUCCCUUCACUGUGCCUUACAAUCUUCUCCAUGGCAGGACAUAGUGAAACUCCGUCUCUACCACUCCGUCAGUACCUGCCACAGGAAAUGGCGGGUUUACGGAUUUGUUUAUAAGUUUAUUUCCCCAAUUGGUUGUUUUUCCAUCUUGCGGGGUUUACAUCGUCUCCUCCUCACUUGCGUGGCAGCCUGGACGCAUCUCUAUCACAGCACAUUACCUCGUUUCGUGACCACAGCGUAGUCUCUUCCCCAUCCUCAGACUGAGUUAGGGCCCCUUUGAGUCAGGUAUUUGCCUUGCUAAUCUUUGUGCCCUCUGUGUCUAAUACGGUGCUUGGUCCUGGUAGAUUUCUCCUUGCUUGCAUAACAUGUGUCUUCCUGGCUUAUUCGAUUUCUGGAAGUCUAGAACUUCUCCCCAGUGUUUCACCUGCCUGCUGAGUCAGGGCUCUCGGCCCGCUGGGGAGCAUUUUGCUGCACUUGUCAUUAGCCACAAAGCCACUAGGGGGCAGGGAGCCCCCAUCCUGCCUCAGAUCGGUGCCAAACCAGAACCCGGCAGCCUGCCUUCUGCACGGAAAUCAAUUCUCUAGGAGCUGAUUUGCUGAAAGAUCAUUUUGCAAAAUGGUCAACUCAGCAAAUAAUCGACUUGCUGAAUCUUUGAGGAGUUAUUUGCAGCUUCAGUUUUACUUAGAGCAAUCCCUGGAUGCUUAAUAUUUCAUUUAAGAAUGAGUGAGCCUUUUCUUCUCUAUUUUGGGGAAACAGUUUCUUGCUGAGCCUCUGCCUCUGUUAGUACCCCAGCGGGGAUGAACUGCAGUACCUGGCUUCGGGUUUUUGUCUUUUCAUUAUAAUGAGUUGGUUUUAUGUGCGUUGACCUACUGUAAAGGAAGGGUGGGGUUCUUCCAAAAUAGAUCCUCUUUCAAUGAGGAGACAGGUAGAGUGGGACAUGGGAAGGGCUUUGUCAGCUUUCCCCAUCAAGAUGUGUCCUGUGUGUCCCCAAAGCUCUUCUUGAGCCAUCCCAGCAUAACCAGGGUUUCCCUCAGGUUCAUAACAAGGUAGAGCAGUCCUCAAGGCUGGCGCAUGAAGACCAGUCCAGGGGGAGGGUGGAUCCCUCGGGAUGUGAUAGGCUGACAGCAGCUCCCCAAAGCCUGUGGUUUUGACUACUGUAGAGACUUCAUAUCUGAAGCAUGCCCCUCUACUUCAGCCACCCCCACUGCUCCUCCUUCUGCGGGGUCCCUUUGGAAAGCUUAGCACCACCUCAGACAUUUGGAAAACUAACUUGAGCUCCAGUCCCUCGAGGCCCUAGCCUCUGCAUCCUGUGAAGAGGGCCCUGCUGUGCAGAGCGCAGAGGGUCCCGCACUCACUUGGAUGAACCUCUAGGGCAUUCUGCUCAGUCUCAGGAGGGCAGACACUGUGGGACUCCACUCACAUGAGUAUCUGACGUUGCCAAAAAUCAUAGAAACAGGCCGGGUGUGGUGGCUCACACCUGUAAUCCCAGCGCUUUGGGAGGCUGAGGCAGGUGGAUCACUUGAGGUCAGGAGUUCAAGACCAGCCUGGCCAACAUGGUGAAACCCCGUUUCUACUAAAAAUACAAAUAUUAGCCGUGUGUGGUGGCGGGAACCUGUAAUCCCAGCUACUCGGGAGGCUGGGGCAGGAGAAUUGCUUGAACUCGGGAGGUGGAGGUUGCAGUGAGCCGAGAUCACACCAUUGCACUCCAGCCUGGGCGACAGAGCAAGACUCUGUCUCAAAAAAAAAAAAAAAAUCAUAGAAACGGAAAGUAGAACGGUGGUUACCCGGGCUGGGGUUCGGGGAGGUGAGUUGGGGUGUAAUGGGGAGAGUUUGGGUGCUGCAGGAUGAAAAGUCCUGCAGAUCUGGCACACAACCAUGUGAAUGUACUUUCUACUGUGGGCUAUACACUUAGAAAUGGUUAGGAUGGUACUAUUAAUGUUACAUCAUUUUUACCCUAGUAAACAUUUUUUAAGAAGUCUUCCUCCGUGUUUGACUUCCUUAUGAAGUAGAGACCAGGUAGUUUGGACACUAUGUUCUUUCACAAAAGGGAUUUCAUUUUGUGAAAUAUUUGAAAGCAUCGAAGUCUAGCAUUUCACGUUUUGCAAGCUGGGGAAAAGCAUUCAUUCCCUGAGAAGCAGCGUUGGUCUGUCAGGCUUGGAGUUCCCCGGGUUGUGGGUUUUAGGGAAGGGAAGGGAAGCGAGGAAGGACUUGUGAGAGGAAGUCCUAAAGGCCACUUAAGGGCACACAGAGGCCCGGAGCUGGCUUUGCUCAGAGCUUGUAGCGGCGCCACAAUCUCUGUCCUCUCAGGAACAGGAACUGGCUUGACGUCCUUUUCCUGCCCUAUCCAAGCCCCUGUUCUUGCAGCCCUUCUGAAGCUCAGCCUGGCACCGGCCCCGGCGCCCCAGCCCCUGGCCAAGCCUCUGCUGUCAUUUCUCCUCCCUCCUCUCAGUCUGCAGCUGCGGGACGGGCCGGGCUCCUCAGUUUCUGCUGUGUUGUGACCCCACGAGGCGCUCAGCACCCAGGGAAGGCGCGUGUGUCCCCGAUGCUGGCUCCUCCCUGAGCCCCGACGGCUCUCGAGGUUCUGAGCCUGUGGCCUGCACAGGGAACUUCCUCUCCGACUGCAUUUAUGCCUCUGUGGAUGUGAAGGCUAUUUCUAGAAAUCUCUUCCUUUGCAGAAACACCCGAAACCCUCCUGCCAGGAAGACCAGGGCCUGGGAAGAGGGUCGCUCUCCGGCCAUUCUCCCCUCACCCUCCUCACCUUCCUCACAUCCUGUGCCCUGGGGGACCAGCAGCUGCUUCCACCCAGGUGAGAGAUGGAGGGAUAGAGCCAGGUGGAUUGCGGAGCCUCGGAGACUGUGGGACGCCGUGGGACCCCAUGGGACACGACCGCAGUGCAUGUGUGACAUGUGCACUCGUGUGUAGAUGUGUGUGCACUGGUGCAUGGCUGUGGGGGAGGAUGGGCUUGGCACCGGGAAGGCAGCCUGCUCAGCCAUGGGAGAGGAGGCUGGGUUGAAUGGCAGGGUUGAAUGGCAGAGUUGAAUGGCAGGGGCCCUGGGAAGCUUUCCUCCUGGUCCAAAGCGUGUCUCCCCAGCCUGCUGGGGAGUAGAUUCGGCAGGAUGGGGACAGAGGCAUAUUCCCAGACAUCUAUGAGAGUGGCUGUCCUAAAAGAAGGCGUGUCGGGGAGUGGGUGUGAGCCCUGAAGAGGAGGAGGGCUGAGACUGGCAGAAGGGAGGAAGAAGCAGGCGGAAGCAGCCGGUCAGAUGCCCCAUGAAGCUAGAUGGUGCCGCAGAGCAGCCCCCAGGAGGAAGCCAGCGGAGCUCCUCCCGCAAAGCAGGGGGUGGGGGAUGCUGAUUUUUCCACGUCUGCUUUUCUGAUCUUUCCUGCCCCUUGCACAGUUAGGAUUCUGUGAACUGGGCAUUGGAGGGAUUGGAGGGGUCAAGACCUUACCAAAAGCAAUAUUUCUGAUUUCACCUACAUUUCAGCCAACCUGGUCCUCAGCAGUUAACCUCUUCCCUUCCUCUUGAUGGUUGCCCUGCUGGGCUGGGUCUAAGGUCUUCCCCACGCUGGGCUCUGGAGGCAUCUCCAACCACCCUGCUCUGUAAGUGGGAACUGCGAUUAGAUGUGGGAUGAAUCCCCGCAUGGCUGGAUGCUGUGCUCAGAUGCCUGAGUCCACGUUUGCCUUGGGCUGUUUCCUGAGAAGGAGGCAGAGGCUGCCUUUACAGUCUUCAGUGAAUUAUAGGAAGAACGCUCUCUUUUUCUCUCAGUUGCUCUGCUGGGGUCUCCAGAGUGGCCUGGGAAAUUGAGCAGAGGGAAAUGUGGGCUGGCAGAGCGUGAGUGAGGGUGAGUUUGGGUACCUUUUUGUCCUUAAGUGCACUUUCUACAUGUUGGGGUGAAGUGCUACUGGCUGGGAAGCUGUAUGUGUGGUAGGAGUGUGCAUGUGCGUGUGUGUAUGUGGGUGUGUGUGUGUAGGUCCUGACAUCAUGUGGAGCUGCAGGCAGGAGUCCAGCCAAGACUCAUUGGUUUGGUCAUACUCUGCUGGGGAACCAUGCAAGGCUGUGUCGCUUAAUUGGGAAAGAAAUUUCUUUCUUCUUCAGACCUGUGGGAGGCCUCUGCUUCCUUCAGCUUGCUGUUUUCUCACUAGUGUCUUUUUUUCUUAAAUUAAUUUACAGAGACAUCUCACUUCACUUGCAUAUAUAUGUGUGUGUGUAUGUAUAUAUGUAUAUAUAUGUAUAUAUGUAUGUAUAUAUGUAUAUAUGUGUAUAUAUGUAUAUA
rnacentral:lncRNA from 1 species